rnacentral:lncRNA from 1 species
GUUUAAGUAAAUAGAAAUCAAUGAAAUUUAAACAACAAUGUUAAUGACUACAAAAGGAAGGUUGGUAUUGAUUUUGGGAGUUUAGGUCCCAACAGUUUAGGAAUUAGGGGCCAAAAAGGGACCCAAAUAAGCAUUUUUCUUGGUUUUCGCACCAUAACGUUAGUAUAAGUAAAUAGAAAUCUAUGAUAUUUAAACACAAGG